GGGCUCAGGGCAGGCUCAGAGCAGGUUCAGGCUGGGCUCAGAGCAGGCUCAGGCUGGGCUCAGAGCAGGCUCAGGCUGGGCUCAGGGCAGGCU
rnacentral:miRNA from 12 species